AGGAUUGAUGGGGUGAUAAAUGCAGCAAGCUUGAAAAGAGCAAUUUUACAAGACAUUCGGAUGCCUUCAUUGUGAGGGUUUUUUUCCACUGACAACAACCGUUGUAUCCUCGUUCUGUACAAAGCAUUAUUCUAUGUCUAAAUACGCUUUGGAGAAUUUACGGUUCAUGUGGAAAAAAAAAUGUCUUUGGAGCGCGUGAACGGACCACGAUUCUAACAUGAUUUACAAAAAUGAAAGGUGCUGAAGCCACCAUGUGUUUCAAAUCACUUUCUUUUGGCUCCCUCUCACAUUUGCGCUCCCUAAACGCUCCAGAAAAUAAUCGAGUGUUUCCCCCCCCCUCAACUUGCUGGAAAUGACCUAACGACUGCCAGGAAGAGGAAUGUGAAGCAUUCCCUGGAGCUGUCCGUGACGUCAGUACGUUGAGGAGGCCCCAGCGCUUCCUCCAGCCUGUAUAUUCCAAAGUGCACUCCCAACUCCCAACAGCUGGAGUCGACCACUGCCUCGCUCCCACUCCAAAACAAGCCUCAAACAUACCACGGCCCCCGCCUAUCUGGACUCCAUGUGAGUGACUGCGAGGCGCAUCUGGGCCUUUGGUGCUGAUAUGGGGAUAACGGGGCAAAAAAAGAAAGAAAAAAAAAAGAAAAAUCAGGACUUUACACACAAAAGUCACAGCUGUUGUAUCUAAGCCUGAAUUUGCACUGAAGGUCAACGUGUCCAAUUCUGAUUAAAUGCCUACAUCCAAUUUUAGCAUUUUCAUUUGCAUGCAACACAUAUCCUACACAAACACAUGAAGUGCCCCACAUGCGCUGACUCCCAAAUUGCAUAUCAAUAACUAACAAGCGUCAACACUGGACUGUGAAAACACAGAUGUCAACAUUAAUACACACAUACCACAAAUCUUAAUGUUGAUUGAACGCUCUAAAUUGUCCCUAGUUGUGAUCGUGAACGUGAAUGGUUGCUCUUCUCUGUGUGCCCUGCAAUUGGCUGGCAACCAGUUCAGGGUGUAUCCCCCGCCUACGGGCGGAAGACAGCUGGGAUAGGCUCCAGCACGCCCACUCGGAUAAUGGAUGGAUGGAUAAACGGUCUAUUCGAGUCAGGAGAUCAAAUACUCAACAUUCAGUACCUGCUCGUUAGCAGCUAAAAUGGACAGCUGUGAUAACAUAAACAUUCAACCCAACUAGCGAGCAUUACAGAUGAGCUGCUGUCACAAGGGUACCAGAUAGUUAAAUAUUCUGACCCAACUAUCUGUCUCCAUAAAUAAUAGAGCUGGUAUUUCACUGUCUUAUACCUACUGGCCAUGUAUCACAAUCAUUGGGGUGAAAA